UUGUGUGUACCUCAGUUGGGAGAACAUGGUGCCUACAAUGCCAAGGUUUCGGGUUCAAAUCCCUGUGGGGAAG